AGCGAACGCUGGCGGCAUGCCUAACACAUGCAAGUCGAACGAGACCUUCGGGUUUAGUGGCGCACUGGUGCGUAACGCGUGGGAACCUGCCCUUAGGUUCGGAAUAACUCCCCGAAAGGGGUGCUAAUACCGGAUAAUGUCUUCGGACCAAAGAUUUAUCGCCUUUGGAUGGGCCUGCGUUGGCUUAGCUAGUUGGUAGCGUAAAAGCCUAACAAUGCUACGAUCCAUAGCUGGUCUGAGAGGAUGAUCAGCCACACUGGUACUGAGACACGGCCCAGAAUACUACGGGAGGCAGCAGUGGGGAAUAUUGGACAAUGGGCGAAAGCAUGAUCCAGCAAUGACGCGUGAGUGAUGAAGGCCUUAGGGUUGUAAAGCUAGUUUACACGGGAUGAUAAUGACAGUACCGGGAGAAUAAGCUCCGGCUAACUCCGUG
rnacentral:rRNA from 1 species